rnacentral:rRNA from 1 species
GUGUCAGCAGCCGCGGUAAGACGAGGGGUCCAAGCGUUGUUCGGAAUCAUUGGGCGUAAAGCGGGUGUAGGUGGCUCUGUAAGUCAGGAGUGAAAGCCCUAGGCUUAACCUGGGAAGUGCUUUUGAUACUGCAGAGCUUGAAUGUGGGAGAGGAUGGUGGAAUUCCUGGUGUAGUGGUGAAAUACGUAGAUAUCAGGAGGAACUCCGGUGGCGAAGGCGGCCAUCUGGCCCAACAUUGACACUGAGACCCGAAAGCGUGGGGAUCAAACAGGAUUAGAUACCCCGGUAGUCC